rnacentral:rRNA from 1 species
AUUGAACGCUGGCGGCAGGCCUAACACAUGCAAGUCGAGCGAGCGGCGGACGGGUGAGUAAUGUCUGGGAACUUGCCUGAUGGAGGGGGAUAACUACUGGAAACGGUAGCUAAUACCGCAUACCCUCAGAUGUGCCCAUAUGGGAUUAGCUAGUAGGUGGGGUAACGGCUCACCUAGGCGACGAUCCCUAGCUGGUCUGAGAGGAUGACCAGCCACACGGGAACUGAGACGCGGGCCAGACUCCUACGUGAGGCAGCAGUGGGGAAUAUUGCACAAUGGUCGCAAGCCUGAUGCAGCCAUGCCGCGUGUGAGAAGAGGGCCUUCGGGUUGUAAAGCACUUUCAGCGGGGAGGCGUUACCCGCAGAAGAAGCACCGGCUAACGCCGUGCCAGCAGCCGCGGUAAUUC